rnacentral:tRNA from 1 species
UUUAAAUAGCUUAAGUUUAAAGCUUUUCAUUGAAGAUGAAAAUAUGAUUUAUUAAAUCUUUAAAUA